UACGGGGGGGGCAAGCGUUGUUCGGAAUUACUGGGCGUAAAGGGCUCGUAGGCGGCCAACUAAGUCAUACGUGAAAUCCCUCGGCUUAACCGGGGAACUGCGUCUGAUACUGGAUGGCUUGAGAUUGGGAGAGGGAUGCGGAAUUCCAGGUGUAGCGGUGAAAUGCGCAGAUAUCAGGAGGAACACCGGUGGCGAAGGCGGGUCUCUGGGCCGAUACUGACGCUGAGGAGCGAAAGCGUGGGGAGCAAACAGG
rnacentral:rRNA from 1 species